rnacentral:rRNA from 1 species
ACGAAGGGAGCUAGCGUUGUUCGGAAUUACUGGGCGUAAAGGGCGCGUAGGCGGUCCGGUCAGUCAGAUGUGAAAGCCCUGGGCUUAACCCGGGAAUUGCGUUUGAUACUACCGGUCUUGAAUUCGGAAGAGGUGAGUGGAAUUCCCAGUGUAGAGGUGAAAUUCGUAGAGAUUGGGAAGAACACCCGUGGCGAAAGCGGCUCACUGGACCGACAUUGACGCUGAGGCGCGAAAGCGUGGGGAGCAAACAG